AGCAGCCGCGGUAAUUCCAGCUCCAAUAGCGUAUAUUAAAGUUGUUGCAGUUAAAAAGCUCGUAGUUGAAUUUCGGGGUUAGUAGGCUGGUCGUGCCACCGGUACGUACUGGUCUUACUGAUUCCUCCUUCCUGAUGAAUUGUAAUGCCAUUAAUUUGGUGUUGCAGGGAAUCUGGACUGUUACUUUGAAAAAAUUAGAGUGUUUAAAGCAGGCUAACACUUGAAUACAUUAGCAUGGAAUAAUGAAAUAGGACGUUCGAUCCUAUUUUGUUGGUUUCUAGGAUUGACGUAAUGAUUAAUAGGGAUAGUUGGGGGCAUUAGUAUUCAAUUGUCAGAGGUGAAAUUCUUGGAUUUAUUGAAGACUAACUACUGCGAAAGCAUUUGCCAAGGAUGUUUUCAUUAAUCAAGAACGAAAGUUAGGGGAUCGAAGACGAUCAGAUACCGUCGUAGUCUUAACCAUAAACUAUGCCGACUAGGGAUCGGAUGAUGUUAAUUUUUUAAUGACUCA
rnacentral:rRNA from 1 species